AACGAACGCUGGCGGCAUGCCUAACACAUGCAAGUCGAACGAAGCCUUCGGGCUUAGUGGCGCACGGGUGCGUAACGCGUGGGAAUCUGCCCUUGGGUUCGGAAUAACAGUUAGAAAUGACUGCUAAUACCGGAUGAUGUCUUCGGACCAAAGAUUUAUCGCCCAAGGAUGAGCCCGCGUAGGAUUAGGUAGUUGGUGGGGUAAUGGCCCACCAAGCCGACGUUCCUUAGCUGGUCCGAGAGGAUGAUCAGCCACACUGGGACUGAGACACGGCCCAGACUCCUACGGGAGGCAGCAGUGGGGAAUAUUGGACAAUGGGCGAAAGCCUGAUCCAGCAAUGCCGCGUGAGUGAUGAAGGCCUUAGGGUUGUAAAGCUCUUUACCAGGGAUGAUAAUGACAGUACCUGGAGAAUAAGCUCCGGCUAACUCCGUGCCAGCCGCCGCGGUAAAAC
rnacentral:rRNA from 1 species